rnacentral:misc_RNA from 1 species
GAUGAAGAACGCAGCGAAAUGCGAUAAGUAAUGUGAAUUGCAGAAUUCAGUGAAUCAUCGAAUCUUUGAACGCACAUUGCGCCCGCCAGUAUUCUGGCGGGCAUGCCUGUUCGAGCGUCAUUACAACCCUCAGGCCCCCGGGCCUGGCGUUGGGGAUCGGCGGAAGCCCCCUGUGGGCACACGCCGUCCCUCAAAUACAGUGGCGGUCCCGCCGCAGCUUCCAUUGCGUAGUAGCUAACACCUCGCAACUGGAGAGCGGCGCGGCCAUGCCGUAAAACACCCAACUUCUGAAUGUUGACCUCGAAUCAGGUAGGAAUACCCGCUGAACUUAAGCAUAUCAAUAAGCGAAGGA